GGGCCCGCACAAGCGGUGGAGCAUGUGGUUUAAUUCGAUGAUACGCGAGGAACCUUACCAAGGCUUAAAUGUAGAGGGACAGGCGGCGAAAGUUGCCCUUCUUCGGACUCUCUACAAGGUGCUGCAUGGUUGUCGUCAGCUCGUGCCGUGAGGUGUCGGGUUAAGUCCCAUAACGAGCGCAACCCCUAUUUCUAGUUGCCAGCGGUUCGGCCGGGGACUCUAGAGAAACUGCCAGCGUAAGCUGUGAGGAAGGUGGGGAUGACGUCAAAUCAUCACGGCCCUUACGUCCUGGGCCACACACGUGCUACAAUGGUAGGUACAGAGGGAAGCCACCCCGCGAGGGGAGCGGA
rnacentral:rRNA from 1 species